UACGGGGGGGGGCAAGCGUUGUUCGGAAUUACUGGGCGUACAGGGAGCGUAGGCGGUUGGAUAAGCCCCUCCGUGAAAUCUCCAGGCUUAACCUGGAAAGUGCAGAGGGGACUGUUCAGCUAGAGGAUGGGAGAGGAGCGCGGAAUUCCCGGUGUAGCGGUGAAAUGCGUAGAGAUCGGGAGGAAGGCCGGUGGCGAAGGCGGCGCUCUGGAACAUUUCUGACGCUGAGGCUCGAAGCGAGCUGGGAGGC
rnacentral:rRNA from 1 species